GAUGAACGCUGGCGGCGUGCCUAAUACAUGCAAGUCGAGCGAACAGACGAGGAGCUUGCUCCUCUGACGUUACCGGCGGACGGGUCAUUAACACGUGGAUACCCUCCCUAUAAUAAUGGGAUAACUUUGGGAAACCGACCCUAAUAUCGGCUCAUCUCUUGAACCGGAUGGUUCAAUAGUGUAGGGCGGUUUUGCUGGCCCUUAUAGAUGGAUCCGGUCCGCUGUAGCUUGUUGUUAAGGUAACGGCUUACCAAGGCGACAAUGCGUAGCCGACCUGAGAGGGUGGUCGGCCACCCUGGAACUGGGACACGGUCCCGACUCCUAAGGGAGGCAGCAGUAGGGAAUCUUCCGCAAUGGGCGGAAGCCUGACGGAGCAACGCCGCGUGAGUGAUAAAGGUCUUCGGAUCGUAAAACUCUGUUAUGGGGGAAGAACAAAUGUGUAAGUAACUAUGCACGUCGUGACGGUACCUAAUCAGAAAGCCACGGCUAACUACGUG
rnacentral:rRNA from 1 species